rnacentral:rRNA from 1 species
AAUCAACGCUGGCGGCGUGCCUAACACAUGCAAGUCGAACGAGAAAGUGGAGCAAUCCAUGAGUAAAGUGGCGCACGGGUGAGUAACACGUGACUAACCUACCCUUGAGUGGGGGAUAACCUAGGGAAACCUGGGCUAAUACCGCAUAAUACCUACGGGUCAAAGGAGCAAUUCGCUUUAGGAGGGGGUCGCGGCAGAUUAGUUAGUUGGCGGGGUAAUGGCCCACCAAGACGAUGACUGUAUCCGGCCUGAGAGGGCGCACGGACACACUGGAACUGAAACACGGUCCAGACUCCUACGGGAGGCAGCAGUGGGGAAUUUUGCGCAAUGGGGGAACCCUGACGCAGCAACGCCGCGUGGAGGAUGAAGACCCUUGGGUCGUAAACUCCUUUCGAUCGGGACGAUAAUGACGG